rnacentral:tRNA from 1 species
GCCUCGAUGGCGCGGACGGCGCCCGUGACGUCGUUGCCGCCGUGCACGUAGUAGCUGAAGGGCCGGCCCCGGGUCUCGUCCAGGCAGGGGUA